CAGAGAGAAGCCCCGCCCACUGUCUGCCCGGCCACAAACUCCAGCCUGUGCAGAGGGGGAUGGAGCCCUUACUUACUCAUGUAAGCAUAUAUUAGUGUGGUGUCCAUCUCUUCAGUGUAAGAGCCAGAGCUGUGUGGAGAUUCCUGCAUAAGACUGUACAAUCCACAUUCAAAAGCAAAGUUUGUGAAAAGAAGAAGCUGCUGGAGAGAGAUGGUGUUUGAAAAAGCUUCUCAGGUAAUAAAUAAUGGAUCCAAGGAGUAGUACGGGACGCCGGGGAAGACUCACAGCUGGCAUUUUGCCUCUGGCCUGACACUUCAUCUGUGGUUAACAUCCCUCUUCCUAUAACACCUCUCUGUAUUCUACACCUACUCGCUGUUAUUAUUCCGCGGACAUUGUAUGUUCCAAUUACCCGCUAGUCGCUACUUAGCUGGUUACUUUGGAGAUAGAGAAAGACGCAGAGCUGUGGUUACAGAAAACAUGGGUUAUCCUAGGAGGAAACCAACUAAUCCAUCUGAACUGAUCCGGAUUUAGAUUAUAGGCCAAAAUUACAUGUAUAGAAUGUUCACUGACCAUUGAUACAUGAAUAGUGUAAGAAUCCAGUUGUAACGCCAGAAUGUGGUGAUUUAUG